UACGAAGGUGGCAAGCGUUACUCGGAAUUACUAGGCGUAAAGGGCAGGUAGGUGGUCUGAUAAGUCUGUUGUGAAAGCUCCUGGCUCAACUGGGAGAGGCCAACAGAUACUGUCAGGCUUGAGUAUGGGAGAGGGUACUGGAAUUCCCGGUGUAGCGGUGAAAUGCGCAGAUAUCGGGAGGAAUACCGAUGGCGAAAGCAGGUACCUGGACCAUUACUGACACUCAGCUGCGAAAGCUAAGGGAGCAAACAGG
rnacentral:rRNA from 1 species